GAUGAACGCUAUUGGGAGGCCUAACACAUGCAAGCCGAGCGGUAGAGGUCUUUCGGGAUCUUGGGAGCGGCGUACGGGUGCGGAACACGUGUGCAACCUGCCUUUAUCAGGGGGAUAGCCUUUCGAAAGGAAGAUUAAUACCCCAUAAUAUAUUGAAUGGCAUCAUUUGAUAUUGAAAACUCCGGUGGAUAGAGAUGGGCACGCGCAAGAUUAGAUAGUUGGUAGGGUAACGGCCUACCAAGUCAGUGAUCUUUAGGGGGCCUGAGAGGGUGAUCCCCCACACUGGUACUGAGACACGGACCAGACUCCUACGGGAGGCAGCAGUGAGGAAUAUUGGACAAUGGGUGAGAGCUUGAUCCAGCCAUCCCGCGUGAAGGACGACGGCCCUAUGGGUUGUAAACUUCUUUUGUAUAGGGAUAAACCUUUCCACGUGUGGAAAGCUGAAGGUACUAUACGAAUAAGCACCGGCUAACUCCGUGCCAGCAGCCGCGGUAAUACGGAGGGUGCAAGCGUUAUCCGGAUUUAUUGGGUUUAAAGGGUCCGUAGGCGGAUCUGUAAGUCAGUGGUGAAAUCUCAUAGCUUAACUAUGAAACUGCCAUUGAUACUGCAGGUCUUGAGUAGAGUAGAAGUGGUUGGAAUAAGUAGUGUAGCGGUGAAAUGCAUAGAUAUUACUUAGAACACCAAUUGCGAAGGCAGGUCACUAUGUUUUAACUGACGCUGAUGGACGAAAGCGUGGGGAGCGAACAGGAUUAGAUACCCUGGUAGUCCACGCCGUAAACGAUGCUAACUCGUUUUUGGGUUUUCGGAUUCAGAGACUAAGCGAAAGUGAUAAGUUAGCCACCUGGGGAGUACGUUCGCAAGAAUGCAACUCAAAGGAAUUGACGAGGGCCCGCACAAGCGGUGGAUUAUGUGGUUUAAUUCGAUGAUACGCGAGGAACCUUACCAAGGCUUAAAUGGGAAUUGACAGGUUUAGAAAUAGACUUUUCUUCGGACAAUUUUCAAGGUGCUGCAUGGUUGUCGUCAGCUCGUGCCGUGAGGUGUUAGGUUAAGUCCUGCAACGAGCGCAACCCCUGUCACUAGUUGCCAUCAUUCAGUUGGGGACUCUAGUGAGACUGCCUACGCAAGUAGAGAGGAAGGUGGGGAUGACGUCAAAUCAUCACGGCCCUUACGCCUUGGGCCACACACGUAAUACAAUGGCCGGUACAGAGGGCAGCUACCUAGCGAUAGGAUGCGAAUCUCGAAAGCCGGUCUCAGUUCGGAUUGGAGUCUGCAACUCGACUCUAUGAAGCUGGAAUCGCUAGUAAUCGCAUAUCAGCCAUGAUGCGGUGAAUACGUUCCCGGGCCU
rnacentral:rRNA from 1 species